UGGUAGAGAACCACAGCGUUUCUAUGUUCCC
rnacentral:piRNA from 1 species